rnacentral:rRNA from 1 species
GACGUAGGGGGCGAGCGUUGUCCGGAGUUACUGGGCGUAAAGGGCGCGUAGGCGGCCUUCUAAGUCGAACGUGAAAUCCCCGGGCUCAACCCGGGAACUGCGUCCGAUACUGGAAGGCUUGAAUCCGGGAGAGGGAUGCGGAAUUCCGAGGUGUAGCGGUGAAAUGCGUAGAUAUCUGGAAGGAACACCGGUGGCGAAGGCGGCAUCCUGGACCAACACUGACACUGAGGAGCGAAAGCCAGGGAGCAAACGGG